GACGAACGCUGGCGGCGUGCUUAACACAUGCAAGUCGAACGGAAAGGCCCUGCUUUUGUGGGGUGCUCGAGUGGCGAACGGGUGAGUAACACGUGAGUAACCUGCCCUUGACUUUGGGAUAACUUCAGGAAACUGGGGCUAAUACCGGAUAGGAGCUCCUGCUGCAUGGUGGGGGUUGGAAAGUUUCGGCGGUUGGGGAUGGACUCGCGGCUUAUCAGCUUGUUGGUGGGGUAGUGGCUUACCAAGGCUUUGACGGGUAGCCGGCCUGAGAGGGUGACCGGCCACAUUGGGAAUGAGAUACGGCACAGACACCUACGGGAGGCAGAAGUGGGGAAUAUUGCACAAUGGGCGGAAGACUGAUGCAGCAACGCCGCGUGCGGGAUGAAGGCCUGAGGGUUGUAAACCGCUUUCGCCUGUGACGAAGCGUGAGUGACGGUAAUGGGUAAAGAAGAACCAGCUAACUACGUG
rnacentral:rRNA from 1 species